UACGAAGGGUGCGAGCGUUGUUCGGAAUUACUGGGCGUAAAGGGUUCGUAGGCUGGAAUGCAAGUCAAGUGUGAAAUCCCCAGGCUUAACCUGGGACGUGCAUUUGAGACUGUGUUUCUUGAGUUUCGGAGAGGGUGGUGGAAUUGCUGGUGUAGGAGUGACAUCCGUAGAGAUCAGCAGGAACACCGGAGGCGAAGGCGACCACCUGGCCGAAAACUGACGCUGAGGAACGAAAGCGUGGGGAGCAAACAGG
rnacentral:rRNA from 1 species